rnacentral:rRNA from 1 species
UCCUACGGGAGGCAGCAGUGGGGAAUUUUGGACAAUGGGCGAAAGCCUGAUCCAGCAAUGCCGCGUGUGUGAAGAAGGCCUUCGGGUUGUAAAGCACUUUUGUCCGGAAAGAAAUCCUUGGCUCUAAUACAGUCGGGGGAUGACGGUACCGGAAGAAUAAGCACCGGCUAACUACGUGCCAGCAGCCGCGGUAAUACGUAGGGUGCGAGCGUUAAUCGGAAUUACUGGGCGUAAAGCGUGCGCAGGCGGUUUGCUAAGACCGAUGUGAAAUCCCCGGGCUCAACCUGGGAACUGCAUUGGUGACUGGCAGGCUAGAGUAUGGCAGAGGGGGGUAGAAUUCCACGUGUAGCAGUGAAAUGCGUAGAGAUGUGGAGGAAUACCGAUGGCGAAGGCAGCCCCCUGGGCCAAUACUGACGCUCAUGCAC